AACGAACGCUGGCGGCAUGCCUAACACAUGCAAGUCGAACGAGACCUUCGGGUCUAGUGGCGAACGGGUGCGUAACGCGUGGGAACCUGCCCUUAGGUUCGGAAUAACUCCCCGAAAGGGGUGCUAAUACCGGAUAAUGUCUUCGGACCAAAGAUUUAUCGCCUUUGGAUGGGCCCGCGUUGGAUUAGCUAGUUGGUAGGGUAAAAGCCUACCAAGGCGACGAUCCAUAGCUGGUCUGAGAGGAUGAUCAGCCACACUGGGACUGAGACACGGCCCAGACUCCUACGGGAGGCAGCAGUGGGGAAUAUUGGACAAUGGGCGAAAGCCUGAUCCAGCAAUGCCGCGUGAGUGAUGAAGGCCUUAGGGUUGUAAAGCUCUUUUACCCGGGAUAAUAAUGACAGUACCGGGAGAAUAAGCUCCGGCUAACUCCGUG
rnacentral:rRNA from 1 species